UACGUAGGUGGCAAGCGUUGUCCGGAUUUAUUGGGUUUAAAGGGUGCGUAGGCGGUCUUAUAAGUCAGUGGUGAAAUCCGGCAGCUCAACUGUCGAGGUGCCAUUGAUACUGUAGGACUUGAGUACAGACGAGGUAGGCGGAAUUGACGGUGUAGCGGUGAAAUGCUUAGAUAUCGUCAAGAACACCGAUAGCGAAGGCAGCUUACUAGGCUGUAACUGACGCUGAGGCACGAAAGUGUGGGGAGCAAACAGG
rnacentral:rRNA from 1 species